GGCUGGUCCAAGUGCAGUGGUGUUUACAACUCAUUGAUCACAACCAGUUACAGAUGUCUUUGUUCCUUCUCCACUCCCACUGCUUCACUUGACUAGCCUUAC
rnacentral:Y_RNA from 1 species